rnacentral:rRNA from 1 species
GGGUGAUGGCGUGCCUUUUGUAGAAUGAACCGGCGAGUUACGUUCCCGUGCAAGGUUAAGGUGAAGAGCUGAAGCCGCAGCGAAAGCGAGUCUGAAUAGGGCGACUUGAGUACGUGGACGUAGACCCGAAACCGGGUGAUCUACCCCUGUCCAGGGUGAAGGUGCGGUAACACGCACUGGAGGCCCGAACCCACGCAUGUUGAAAAAUGCGGGGAUGAGGUGGGGGUAGCGGAGAAAUUCCAAUCGAACCCGGAGAUAGCUGGUUCUCCCCGAAAUAGCUUUAGGGCUAGCCUCGGAAA